rnacentral:rRNA from 1 species
UGCGUAGGCAGCGAGCGUUGUUCGGAAUUACUGGGCGUAAAGAGUGUGUAGGCGGUGCUCUAAGUUCGGUGUGAAAUCUCCCGGCUUAACUGGGAGGGUGCGCCGGAAACUGGAGUGCUCGAGCGUGGGAGAGGAAAGCGGAAUUCCUGGUGUAGCGGUGAAAUGCGUAGAUAUCAGGAGGAACACCUGCGGUGUAGACGGCUUUCUGGACCAUUGCUGACGCUGAGACACGAAAGCGUGGGUAGCAAACAGG